AGGGGUAUAGCUCAGUUGGUAGAGCGAUGGUCUCCAAAACCAUGCGCCGAGGGUUCAAGUCCUUCUACCCCUGCCA
rnacentral:tRNA from 1 species